rnacentral:lncRNA from 1 species
GGCCGGGCCCGGCCUCCUCCCUGCGCCGAGCCGAGCUGUGUCCGGCAGCUGUAUUCCGGGCUGCGCGCUGAAAAGAGCCGCUCCCAGGCCGGCCGCCCCCUGCGCCCGGGGUCAAUUAUCCACAUUAAUAUUGUUUGUUUCUUUUCCCCCCCUACACCUCCAAGACUGUUGUAUUUUCUGCCUUGUAGCUUUAUCCUUUUUUUUUUUCCUGUUUAACUCAGCUGCAAAACACAAGAUCAUGAAGGUUGUAAACCAAUUGGUUCCUUGUUAGAGUGUCACUGAUAAGAGAAAUAGAGAUUGUCUCUACCUAGUUCUUGAGGUCUCCAGUGUUUAAAUAUGGAUUUCUCUCCCACAACAUAAGCCUGAAAAGUUUAUUUUUGCUCUCCGAGGGUAAUACUGAAGUGCCAUUGAUGAAGAGGAGCUACUUGACAGUUGCCUUUGACUGUUUGAAUUGUGCAGCAUUGUUUACCCAGGAGGUACACUGAGAUCCAUUUUUUUUCAUCCUUGACAUUGUUUCCACCUGGGGUAUGACAGAAUUCUGAUACAAAAGCAAAAACAUACCGGGGGAACAAUUCGGAAUAUAAACUAAGCAUGGUAGGAUCUUGAACACAAAUUGCUGUAAAAGAAGAGAAGAGGAGGUGAAGGAAUGGCAUCCAGAGAGAGGCUGUAUGAACUUUGGAUGCUUUAUUGUAACAAGAAGUCACCAUCUGCCACUGGACAUUUUAAAACAAUCUACUGUCUCCGCAAUCUGUACCAAAAGACAAUGGAACGUACUGUAACUGACCUCCAUAUGACAUGUCCCAGUGCAGAGGUGAGAGUUAGUGUACCUAACUCUCAGAUAAUUAACUCUGACUGUUAAACUUCUAAACCUUCUCCGUACAAAAUGAUGAUAAUUUUUUGUGUAAAGUCUUAUACAUAUGUCUGUAUAAAAUAUAGUGUGUUUAUAAACAGAAUAAAUGGAUUUGUGAUCAGACCA